rnacentral:rRNA from 1 species
GACGAACGCUGGCGGCGUGCCUAAUACAUGCAAGUUGAGCGCUGAAGGUUGGUACUUGUACCAACUGGAUGAGCAGCGAACGGGUGAGUAACGCGUGGGGAAUCUGCCUUUGAGCGGGGGACAACAUUUGGAAACGAAUGCUAAUACCGCAUAAAAACUUUAAACACAAGUUUUAAGUUUGAAAGAUGCAAUUGCAUCACUCAAAGAUGGUCCCGCGUUGUAUUAGCUAGUUGGUGAGGUAAAGGCUCACCAAGGCGAUGAUACAUAGCCGACCUGAGAGGGUGGUCGGCCACAUUGGGACUGAGACACGGCCCAAACUCCUACGGGAGGCAGCAGUAGGGAAACUUCGGCAAUGGACGAAAGUCUGACCGAGCAACGCCGCGUGAGUGAAGAAGGUUUUCGGAUCGUAAAACUCUGUUGGUAGAGAAGAACGUUGGUGGGAGUGGAAAGCUCAUCAAGUGACGGUAACUACCCAGAAAGGGACGGCUAACUACGUG